CACGUAGGGGGCAAGCGUUGUCCGGAUUCAUUGGGCGUAAAGAGCUCGUAGGCGGUUCGAUAAGUCGGGUGUGAAACCUCCAGGCUCAACCUGGAGACGCCACCCGAUACUGUCGUGACUAGAGUCCAGUAGGGGAGCGUGGAAUUCCUGGUGUAGCGGUGAAAUGCGCAGAUAUCAGGAGGAACACCAGCGGCGAAGGCGGCGCUCUGGGCUGGCACUGAGGCUGAGGAGCGAAAGCGUGGGGAGCGAACAGG
rnacentral:rRNA from 1 species